UGGUGGAGCGAUUUGUCUGGUUAAUUACGUUAACGAACGAGACCUCAGCCUGCUAACUAGCUAUGCGGAGGAAUCCCUCCGCAGCUAGCUUCUUAGAGGGACUAUGGCCGUUUAGGCCACGGAAGUUUGAGGCAAUAACA
rnacentral:rRNA from 1 species